rnacentral:rRNA from 1 species
UACGUAGGGGGCAAGCGUUGUCCGGAUUUAUUGGGCGUAAAGAGCGUGUAGGCGGUUUGGUAGGUCCGCUGUGAAAACUCGAGCUCAACCCCGAGACGCCGGUGGAAACCAUCAGACUAGAGUCCGGAAGAGGAGAGUGGAAUUCCUGGUGUAGCGGUGAAAUGCGCAGAUAUCAGGAAGAACACCCGUGGCUAAGGCGGCUCUCUAGUACGGUACUGACGCUGAGACGCGAAAGCGUGGGGAGCGAACAGG